CAAUAAGGCCUGCUAGACUUUAGGCACCAAAAAUGGUGAGAGCGGGGUGACGGGGUUGUGCGCCUCUGUGCCAAAUAUCCCUGUUGUCUCCAUAGUGUACACUUGGGACGUUUUUCCCCCGUCAAAAUUGUACGGUUCUUGGCACAAACAUAAACUCAAGCAGCGAGCGCACUACAAAAAAAUAUACCAGGGAAACAGUACACGCACCUAUUAGAUAGACUGAAACAUGUAUAUAGGCUACAAUUCAAAGAGUAGAUCACAUCUAGCCUAUCUGAUAUGUUAUAUUUCAGAUAUUAAAAACGAUAAAGACAAGCUUGUUUACAUCGAAACGAUACACGUUCCUACUAAAUAACACUGGACGAAUAAAAAUAGACAUGAAAGAAAAACGUUUAUCGGAACAAAGACCAUAUGCCAACGAAAAUGACUGGUGUAGCCGACACCGAUGAAAAGAUAAUAGACUUCAGUCUUCGAUCAAAUCAAACCAACUCAGACAGCCUUGAGCGUCUUUAUAUGCAAAAAAAAACAUUUAUUUAAAAUUGACCAAACUUUAAAAGACAGUAACUUACUUUUAAAAGUUAGAAAUGAUCUGUCUGCCAGCGAUUUAGAAGGAUAAAUUCAUCCACACAUCAUCUUCAUAAAAAUUACGCAUCUUUGUCACACUUUAAGUGAAAGAAAAACAAUUCAGUCAAAUAAUAUCGUAAAGUUAACGUUGUCUUUCAUCAGAAUAUAUUCCGCUGUUUAUCAUUUUGAUUUGUUUAUUUUUUUCCGCCCACCGAGCGCACGCGACGCAAAAGAACAAGAGGGAGGUAUCUGAGGACAAGGUUACUUACCCCGCAGAUGAAGAGAAAAGCGAGCUCCUUUUUACUGCUGAAAGUGAAUAUGCAGUCUUCCCCCGGGAGACGUUGAAUAUUAUAAUUGCUCGGGGAAGGAAGAGCAAGAGUAAAGUGAGUGAUAAGCGUGCGCGUAGAACAGAAAAAAAUACAUAAAAUAGCUAUUUUCCGCCGCUCUCCUCUAUCCUCUCCUCUCGAGACUGAAAGACUGUGGCGGUGAUGUCGUAGCAGCUGGUGUGAGUGUCUGUCUCCGAGGCGCACGCGAUGCAGAGCUUUGAUGCUCGAGCUCUCCUCCACCAACAAGAUUCACUUUAAGACACAGCUGAAGGAAACAGGAAGACGGCGCGUCAUAAGCUUGGUGAUGUAACGGUUCGUACCUACCAAUAAGAACUGUCCAUCGGGUCCGGGAGGAGUACAACGCACUAAACUUGACCGAGGAAUGGGACUCCGACAGGCAAAAAAACCUCUUACUUAUCACUUUCUUUACAAAUCAAAAGGUCUCGGGGUCCCUGGAUAAAAAGGUUCUCGCUUGGAGAGGAGAAAAGAGAAGAGGAGAGCAGGAGAGAGACGGCAGCGAGCGCUGGGAAUGAGUAGGCGUCUCACACUCUUACCAGGCCCAACAGGAUGCACAACCUUACGACUUGAUGUAUUCAAGUGUAAUCAGAGACACGCUCACUAGAGAACCAGGGCCCUGCAGGUGACAACGACGAUGAUGAUGAUGGUGGCUCUGUAAGGGAAAUAGAAAAACAUUCAUCUGGAUGUUAUGUGUUGUAAUGAAGAAAAGUCAGCGAGAGGAAGAGAUUUUAUUUAAAGAGGAAAACUGUACUUGGAAAUUAGGAUGAUUAGGUUACUAUCUAUGUCAAUUGAGUCCCACGGUAGAGGUGUCAUGAUACCCAUAAAACUUAGCGGUCAAACGGGGAAAUAAAUGGUUCCAAUCAUUUUCCCACUAUUUAUUUUCCCGUAAGGAUUUUAAAAAACAACACUUAAAAUAGGUUUACCAUGGUAUGACAUUUUGAUAACCAUGUAAAUCUCUCACGGACAUGGUGACUUUUAUCAAUAUAUUAGUCUCUAUUUACUCUCAGAUUCGAAAAUGCUAAGUAGCAUCAAAGUAGACAUCAUGCAAGACUACAAAUCCCUGCAAGCUCCCACACGUCAACUCUAGCUGACACCUUUGUUAGCAAGCAUUGUCUCCAUAAAGAAAUUGCACAAGACAGUUCACAGAAUUGCCAAUUUAAGGAAAUGUAGACAAUUUAUGAAAUACUACAUUUAGCUAACAUUAGAAAGUUAAUCUAAAGAUGGUUACCUUUGCCUCAACUCGGCAGUCUCUUCCAGAUCAUCAUGACAUUUGUAGUUCUUUAUGAUAGCCACAUUAGCUGCUAUUUAGCAUUUCAUUUUUUGGGAGUAAAUACAAGCAAAUAUAUUGCUAAAUGUCACCUUGUCCUAGAGACAAUUAUACAGUUCUCAAAACGUCUCACCAAGGUAAGCCUACUCGAAACACAGCCCUUAUAUUAAGUGUCCCCUAUAGAAAAAAUGAAUGAUGGAAAAACGAUUGGAAACAUUUCCUUGUUUGACCAGUAGGUUUUAUGGCUAUUAUGUCUCAUACUGUGGUACUCUAUAGGCGGUGUUUACACAGUCAGCCCAAUUCUGAUCUUUUGCCAAUUGGGAUUUUGGACCUAUCAGAUCUUUUGCCAAUAUUUGGGAAACCGAUCAGAAUUGGUCAUUCUGUGUUAACACAGCCUAUACCUCUGUAUUUAAAGGAUGAAUCUGCACAAUGACUAGUCAAAUUGAUCAUCCACGUUAUGAAUAAAUGGCACAAGGACAGUGA